UUUCUUCCCCAUCUUCUUGGUGCGCAUCCGCUGACUUCAGCCGCAGCAAGGAAAAAUGCGGUCAACCUCAGAUCUAUCUCAAAGAGCAAUAGCAAUGGCGGCGGUGGUGCUGGAAGAUCGUGAUGGUGCAAAAGAGGAACAGAACAACGGGGCGAAGAAGAAAAAUAGAUCUGCUCCAAUGAAACGUAACCCUAACCGAAAGGGGGCCCUCCAAUUCUAUCUCCCC
rnacentral:lncRNA from 1 species